AAGGACAGAGGUCGGCUAAGAUCGCAACGUCCUGGGGCUACGUUAACUCACCCCAAUGAAAAGAUUUGUUGCAAUGCCGACACUAACACGUCCUGUGUG
rnacentral:sRNA from 1 species